rnacentral:rRNA from 1 species
CCUGGUUUGAUCCUGCCAGUAAUUAUAUGCUUGUCUCAAAGAUUAAGCCAUGCAUGUACUAGUUCACACCUUAAAACGGUGAAACCGCAAAUGGCUCAUUAAAUCAGCUAUAAUUUCUUGGAUCUUAAAAUUCUACUUGGAUAACUGUAGUAAUUCUAGAGCUAAUACAUGAAACUAUGCCUCAGCUUGCUGGGUGCGGAUUUAUUAGAACAAAACUAACUGCCUUCGGGUUUGGUUUUUGGUGACUCUGGAUAACUUACCUGAUCGCAUGACCUUGUGUCGGCGACGUAUCUUUCAAGUGUCUGACCUAUCAACUGACGUUGGUAAGUUAAAUGCUUACCAUGGUUAUAACGGGUAACGGGGAAUCAGGGUUCGACUCCGGAGAGGGAGCCUUAGAAACGGCUACCACAUCUAAGGAAGGCAGCAGGCGCGCAAAUUACCCACUCUCAGCUCGAGGAGGUAGUGACAAUAAAUAACAAUGCGGGACUCAUAAUGAGGCUCCGCAAUUGGAAUGAGUACAAUUUAAAUCCUUUAACGAGGAUCAAUUGGAGGGCAAGUCUGGUGCCAGCAGCCGCGGUAAUUCCAGCUCCAAUAGCGUAUAUUAAAAUUGUUGCAGUUAAAAAGCUCGUAGUUGGAUCUCAGGUUUGGUAUGUCGGUCUGGUCGUUGUACCAUGACUGUGCAUAUCAGCCUUUAUUAGCUGUCAGAUGCUCCAUGGUGUUCUUAAUUGAAUGCUAUGUGAGUGCUCGGCACGUUUACCUUGAAAAAAUCAGAGUGCUUAAAGCAGGCCUUUGUGCUUGUAUGUUAUUGCAUGGAAUAAUGGAAUAGGACUUCUGUAGUCUUAUUUUGUUGGUUUCCGGUAUGGAAGUAAUGAAAAAUAGAGACAGACGGGGCCAUUUGUAUGGUGGCGGGAGAGGUGAAAUUCUGAGAUCGCCGCCAGACAAACUACUGCGAAAGCAUUUGGCAAGCAUGUCUUCAUUAAUCAAGAACGAAAGUCAGAGGUUCGAAGACGAUCAGAUACCGUCCUAGUUCUGACCAUAAACGAUGCCGACCGGUAAUCAGGGGUGGUUUUUUUUUAUUGACCCUCCUGGUUGCCCCUGGGAAACCUCUUAGUCAGGUUCUGGGGGGAAUAUGGUCUCAAGGCCGAAACUUAAAGGAAUUGACGGAAGGGCACCACCAGGAGUGGAUCCUGCGGCUUAAUUUGACUCAACACGGGGAAUCUCACCCGGUCCGGACACUAGGAGGAUUGACAGAUUGAUAGCUCUUUCAUAAUUCAGUGGGUGGUGGUGCAUGGCCGUUCUUAGUUGGUGGAGUGAUUUGUCUGGUUAAUUCCGAUAACGAACGAGACUCCAACCUGCUAAAUAGUUGAAAAGCAUCGGUUGCUGGAGUCAAAUCCAGUGGCUACAGUUUUUCCUAACUUCUUAGAGGAAUUCGCGGAACUAUAAACCGCACGAAAGAGAGCAAUAACAGGUCUGUGAUGCCCUUAGAUGUCCGGGGCCGCACGCGCGAUACAUUGACAGUAACAAAAAGUAUUUCCACCUGGUCCGAAAGGAUUGGGAAAUCUUUGAAUUACUGUCUCCACAGGGAUUGGGGUUUGUAAUUAUCCCCCAUGAACGAGGAAUUCCUAGUAGGCGCAAGUCAUCAGCUUGCGUCGAUUACGUCCCUGCCCUUUGUACACACCGCCCGUCGCUACUACCGAUCGAGUGGAUUAGUGAGGACCUCGGAUUGACAGUUUAGCGGCGCAAGCCGUUUUAUUGUCGAAAAGUGGUUCAAACUUGUUCAUUUAGAGGAAGUAAAAGUCGUAACAAGGUUUCCGUAGGUGAACCUGCAGAUGGAUCAA